UGAUUGGUGCAAAAUCAUCAGUUUCUUGUC
rnacentral:piRNA from 1 species